rnacentral:rRNA from 1 species
AUAAGGAGCUUGCUCCUUUGACGUUAGCGGCGGACGGGUGAGUAACACGUGGGUAACCUACCUAUAAGACUGGGACAACUUCGGGAAACCGGAGCUAAUACCGGAUAAUAUGUUGAACCGCAUGGUUCAAUAGUGAAAGAUGGUUUUGCUAUCACUUAUAGAUGGACCCGCGCCGUAUUAGCUAGUUGGUGAGGUAACGGCUCACCAAGGCAACGAUACGUAGCCGACCUGAGAGGGUGAUCGGCCACACUGGAACUGAGACACGGUCCAGACUCCUACGGGAGGCAGCAGUAGGGAAUCUUCCGCAAUGGGCGAAAGCCUGACGGAGCAACGCCGCGUGAGUGAUGAAGGUCUUAGGAUCGUAAAACUCUGUUAUUAGGGAAGAACAAACGUGUAAGUAACUGUGCACGUCUUGACGGUACCUAAUCAGAAAGCCACGGCUAACUACGUGCCAGCAGCCGCGGUAAUACGUAGGUGGCAAGCGUUAUCCGGAAUUAUUGGGCGUAAAGCGCGCGUAGGCGGUUUUUUAAGUCUGAUGUGAAAGCCCACGGCUCAACCGUGGAGGGUCAUUGGAAACUGGAAAACUUGCGUGCAGAAGAGGAAAGUGGAAUUCCAUGUGUAUCGGUGAAAUGCGCAGAGAUAUGGAGGAACACCAGUGGCGAAGGCGACUUUCUGGUCUGUAACUGACGCUGAUGUGCGAAAGCGUGGGGAUCAAACAGGAUUAGAUACCCUGGUAGUCCACGCCGUAAACGAUGAGUGCUAAGUGUUAGGGGGUUUCCGCCCCUUAGUGCUCAGCUGACGCAUAAGCACUCCGCC